rnacentral:lncRNA from 1 species
CGCGAAUCGGACUGUCAAUCCCUAAUUUAAGCUAUUUCAUGUUGGAAAUUUCAAUCUUACAUUGAGAAAUAAUUCUACUAAAAAAAUAAAAUAAUAAAAAACGAAAUAAAGUAAACAGAAAGAAAAACUACCUAAUUUGCUUUUCCUUUUUCCUUUUUUUUUUCUUUUUUUCCUUUCCAAGCAAAGCAGCAACGUGGUGAUCGUCAGGGGUUGAAUCGCCGGCGUUCGGAGCUCCGGCGUGGACCGGCGAUGGGCGGAUCGGCGGCAAAACAGACCGGCGGUGGACUCCGGUGGCGUCGGGCAGCAGCAGAAGGCGAAAACUGCAGGGCGUCGGGUAGCGGAGAUCGACGGCCGAGCAGCGGCGUCGGUGCGGUGGCACGGGUCGGCGGGUGAAGGAAUACUCGAGCGACGGGGGGUUGCUGGUACUCGACCGAUCAGAGGCGCAGCGGCAGCGGAGGUGCGGCGAGCCGGCUCGGGAUCUGCUGGGUCGCGGGUUGCAGACGAGUCGGGGGCGAGAUCGGCGUUCCGGUACGGGGGUGAGCAGCGGUGCCGGGUAGCAGCAGCGGGCGGAGCAGGAGCGACGUCGGGUAGUCGCAGGUCGGUGCGACGGGAGGUGAGAGGCGGCGGGGCUCGACGGAGCCGCGGGAACAGGUGGGUCGCGGCGGUGAGCGGACCGGCGGUGCCGCGAGCAGCUGAUGGGUCGCGAGUCAGCUGGCAGAGCCGCGGGCGAGACCGGCGGAGCGGCGAUGGAGCAGAGAGGUCUCGUGGGUCGCCGGCGGAGCAGCGGUGGUCGGCGGCUCGGCUGCCGGCGCGGUCGAAGGCCCCCCUUGCGAAGAAGACAAUGCGGUGGCCUUUUCUUUUUCCUUUUUCUUCUUUCUUUUUUUUGUCUCUCUCUCUCUCACGUCACUCACGUC